UACGUAGGGGGCAAGCGUUGUCCGGAAUCAUUGGGCGUAAAGAGCGCGUAGGCGGCCCGAUAAGUCCGCUGUAAAAGUCCAGGGCUCAACCCUGGAAAGCCGGUGGAUACUGUCGGGCUAGAGUCCGGAAGAGGCGAGUGGAAUUCCUGGUGUAGCGGUGAAAUGCGCAGAUAUCAGGAGGAACACCGGUGGCGAAGGCGGGUCUCUGGGCAACAACUGACGCUGAGGAGCGAAAGCGUGGGGAGCGAACAGG
rnacentral:rRNA from 1 species